UUACCAAUGAAUUUUAGAUGAAGUAUUGUAAUUAAACCAUGACCAAUUAGCAGUGAAGAAUUAGAAGAAGGUUUUAGGUGAUAUCUAGGUAACUGUCCCUAAAGUAGUCUUUCCUACUAAAAUACCAAGAAGCUAUGGAAACAGACGAACACACAUUGCAGUAGAGGAGGCUGGGAUGGCAAUCAGCCCAAUGAUUGAGUUGGGGAGAACUUGUUGCUAAUAAUAGGGCUGGUAGAACUGACAGGAGAACCAGUCGCUAACCUCCUGCAGCUGAGUCUCCAUCACGCCACUGGGCAGAUGGAGCCACUAAUUGAAAAUCAUCCGUCUGGCCUCCCGUUAUAUUCCUCUGCCUCACCUCCCUCCUGCUCUAUUCAGUGACUGGGGCACACCAUCGCUAUACCCCUCACAUUUCAGGCUCAACUCCCCUUCCUCCUUACCCACAACACAUUUAUCCCUACUCCCACUCCAGACAAGAACUUGAUUUCUGUCUCGCAGAGGAAAAAUAAAUCAUGAUUUGGUAAAUCCCUCAACCUACCAACAUUCUCCUAAAUUGUAAUAGUCCUAAUAUUUACUUUUUGAUAUUUAAAUCCUUGAUCCAUGUUGUCAGGUAAAUUCCAAUUCCAUAUUAUGCUGGAGGAAGUCCGGUUUUUUAAUCUAUUCUUUUUCCUGAAUGGUCUCUGUCAUCAAUGGUCUGCUGUGCCACCUCUGUCAUGGACCAAAGUUACCCAUAAGAAUGGCAGGACUCUGGGCUCUCUAUUUAUUCCGCUGGCAAUUUUCUCUCUCUAUGAAUGAGUUCCAUAAAAUAGUGAUUUUUCAUCAGUCCUUCCUUUCUGUUUUUCUUCACAAAUGCUUUGGCAAUGUUUUUCUUUUUGCUCGUCAGGAUUGUGAUCAGUAAAAAACGUUUUCAUGAGAAUAAAAAUCUGUUGGAAUUUUGAGUGGAAUUAAAAUGAUUAAUAUGGGGAGCACUGACAGCUUUAUAACAUCGUCUUACGAUUCACGAACAGAAUACAUUUCUUCAUUAAUUCAGCUCUUUAAAAAUGUUUCUUGGCUGGGCGUGGCGGUUCAUGCCUGUAGUCCAAGCACUUUGGAGGCCAAGGCCAGUGGAUCACCUGAGGUCGAGAGUUCAAGACCAGCCUGAGCAACAUGGUGAAACCCCGUCUUAAAAAAAAGAAAAAAAAGAAAAGAAAAGAUAAAAAAAUAUUUCUUAAUACUCUGUCCAGUUUUUCUCAUGGAGGAAGCUCUCCAGGUGUUCUAAGGUGAAGGCAAAUAAAUAUGAUCAGAAAUAUUUAGUAUCAAUUGAGAUACUAAAGAAAGCUUAGCAUAAGUCUCUUUCAGUGAAGCAUUUGGCUUCAGGUAGGCAUGAGGACAGUGUGGUAUUUGGGUUAGGCCCUGCUGGGAAGGAAGCCUAUUUUAAUUGCUUAUAGAUCUUAGACACAUUUGUGUCCUCAAUUGUUUGACUUUUUUUUUGAGACGGAGUUUCGCUCUUGUUUACCCAGGCUGGAGUGCAAUGGCACGAUCUUGGCUCACCGCAACCUCCGCCUCCUGGGUUCAGGCAAUUCUCCUGCCUCAGCCUCCUGAGUAGCUGGGACUACAGGCACGUGCCACCAUGGCCAGCUAAUUUUUUGUAUUUUUAGUAGAGACGGGGUUUUUCACCAUGUUGACCAGGAUGGUCUCGAUCUCUUGACCUCGUGAUCCACCCAUCUCGGCCUCCCAAAGUGCUGGGAUUACAGGCAUGAGCCACCGCGUCCAGCCCAAUUGUUUGACUUUUAAACAGGCAUUUCAGGAAUAGUACAAAGGAGAAUUAAUCCUUUUUAAAUUAAGCCUAUUGUAAUUGUCUUAAGACCUUUCUUGGCUUCCAUUUUAGUGGGAGUGUUGAGGAAGUUUAAGAAAAGGUUUAGAAGAAUCCAUCUGAACUCACAUGGCUGUGCUCCAAUUAGUUUGUUUAUGUUCAUAGAGUCUUUGGCCUUGAGGAAUUCCGAGAUCAAGGCUAAUUCUUCACUUGUUUCUUGAAUCAUACCUAGUGUAGGUAUUUUAAUAUGCUUACCAGCUGUAACUUCCGGGACUUCAAAAAACAAUCCUGCAGUGUAGUUAGCUGAAUGUUUCAAACUUGAUCCUUUCCCUUUAAAUGUGCAGGAGUUGUGUCACAGAGAAGAAAGGAAUGUUCUUCUGCUAGGGGUCCCAAAGUAGCAAUCAUAGGUUGAGGCAUGAGAAGGAGCUUAGGGUUGUUAGAAAUUCCCACCAUUUCAGUAGCUUUGGUACUUGGAAGAAAUCUGAUGUUCUAUGGUAGUGGGAUUAAUUGGAGAUAGAGUGACAACCAUAUAAGCAAGAAAACUAAUUUUUUAUGUACAUAUACACGCACAUACGCACGUGGGUGUACGUAUACCAUUUUCCUUGGCAGUUUAGAUGAAGGAGAGGGAAUCAUCGGGGUCCAGUAUUUCUCUCAGCUUCAACAUCACUGGACAGACUUUGAACAGUAGUUUUGUUUCUUAACCGAUGUGAGACACUUGUUUUCCCAAUAACCCUCCUGCCUACAGUAUCUACAGGUGUCCUUAUUUAUAGGCUCUUGAGUCUCAGAGAAAAAAAAAGAAAACCUUUCUGUUUUUGUUUUUCUUCUGGGGACCAGUUUAGUUGGGAUAGCCAGGAGUUGUUUCUGUUUCUGGCUUGUUUACUUUCUAGGGCUCUUUGAAAAUGUUAAGCCACAUGUUGGAGAUCUUCUAAAUUGGCAAUUUCCCAUUCCAGUUUAUUUUUCUAAGUUUCAUAUUUCAGAUGUAAGUCUACUUACAAAAAGAGAGGACAAGUCUCCUUUUACUUCGGCUGCUAGGCCUACCAAAAACAUUAUUUGAAAGUUUCCUGAAGUCUGGUUUUAAGGUCUCCCAUUGAAUCAUCUUCGUUUUAUUUGCAAUUUUGAAUUGCUGUCUAAUCUUCUUUUGAGGGAAAGACGUCAAGGAUGGGCCAUAGUUUGUGAAGAACGUGUUUGCUUCCCCUUCUGCCGUCGCUGUAAGUUUCCUGAGGCCUCCUGAGCCAGCUGAACUGAAGCAGAAAGCACAAAAGAGACAAGUGUGACGGCUUCCGUGACCUCUACGAAUAAAGCCAUAAACAAGUCACAGUCCCUGUGCCCAUCCCUUGUGGCCUGCUACGAAAGUAAGUCCACUUCUGACUCAAGGGUUCCACUCAUUCCUUCUCUUGGAAAUGAUUCCGGCUUGGGUUGCGUUGAUCUCCACCUUAUGUGAUUAUCUGGGUUGGUAUAGUUUGCUUAAUGUGUGCAAUUAUAAAAAUGGCUCUUGUUACCAAUAAGCCUGGUAGCUUUCCACAGUUCUGCUUCCAAGCAAGACAUACGCAUCCAUGACUCUGAGUCCACCAGGACAUUUACAGAUGGAAGAUGAAAACUCUAAAACGGUGGAUUUCCCACAAUGAUGCUGGGAUCCCUUAAAUUUCUUAGGCAAUUCAGGGCUUGUCCUUAUGGGGAGAAGAAGAGCCAUGACCCUACCCCACACCCCACCUUCUCUCUUCAAAUGUAGGAAUUCUAUUUGCUAAUUUCAUUUGGGGAAAAAUAAAAUAGGUUGCCAAAAUAGUUUUGAAAACCAUGUAACUAAGACAACCAAGAAUGGAUGGUAAGAAGCACAAAGCCUUCACUCCAUAUGGGAACAUGGGCACUAUGAGAUUUUGGAUACAUUUUGGCCUUAAUCACUGCUGUGUUGAUCUGAGUUAUGUAAUAAGAUGUUAAGAAAACCAGCGUGAAGAUCGUCAUUUUAAGCUCGGUCCCAUCCCAGUGGGAACGAUGGCAUCAAGGUCCAGGCAGGAUCUUGCCAUCUUCUUUGAAUAAGGGUCAUGCCUGGGGAGUAGCUGCUUUUCCUGGCAGCCCCAACUUGGGCUCACUAGCACUUCAAACAGCAGGCAGGGCCAUCUUAUCCAGAGAUGCCACAGCUCAGAUGGGCGUUCAGAGGGACAGCCAUGCCACCUUGUCCUCUUUAAUCUCCACGUGAUCUGUGGGGCAGGAACACUGGCGUUUACAUCCUGGGCUGCCACUUGCUGGCUCCAUGACCUUGACAGCUUAAUCUUUGAUCUCCAGCUUCUUCUUCUUUGAAGUAGGGAGGACAGUACCAACUUCAUGAAGGGACUUUAAGGAUGAACUCAGACAGCUGAUGCGUCACGUGUAGUGUGAUGCAUGGCACGGAGUAGGCGCUUACCACUUUGCAACAUUUCCAUCAGCAUCCACAUCGCCAGGAGCUCGGGAGUGGGUAGGAUAUAGUUCAGGACUGAGCAGUCGCUGGGGCUGCAUGUGCGCUCUCUGUGAUAUUCCAGUGCAGCAUGUGGCAUGGAGGCAUAGUGCAGUCAUUCCAGGAUGAACCCCACAUUCUCUAGUUCUCCCUGCAUUUGCAAAGGGCCAGGUCUCCUGCCUACUGAGUCUGCUGAUGUCGAAUGUCCCUUGGAGAUUUACUGGAAGGGCAUGAACUGGUCUUCCACUCACAAGGUAACUACAUGAAGCAGUUUUAAAAAAAGAAUCUCGAUUUCUCCUUCCCAUCCUAGACUUAAGGUGUCAAAGCAGGAUAGGCUGUGUCUGGUGUUAUGAACCCCUUGAAGUCUGGCUUGUUAAAGAAGUCGAAAUGUUUAGUGGAUUUCCUGGGGGGAGCGCCCCAAAAUAACUUAACAGAGGGUGGCUUGAAAGAAGGAAAAAAGGCAUUUUGUUCCUUCAAGGAGACUGUCAAAUACUCAGUCCAAACACCCCUGUAACUAAUUCAUUAGUUAGCACCAAGCAGACAUCUUUUAAAUUAGGCAGAAUACAAAUGAGUCUUGUUUUGUGCCAUUAAUUUCAAUGGUUUUACACAAUAUUUGAAUCACUGGCUUUUCUUCUCCUUUGGAGGCAGACCAAAUCAGGCUGAAUCUACUUGCAUUAGAAGCCAUUCAUGGGACCCAGCCAGACCCAUCCUGCAGAUGGAAUGCCAUAUGUUUUGGCUCGCCCCCCCAUAUGGAAUAGUAAUAUGCAAUCCAGGAAUAGAAUGUGCUGUUUCUUUACAUCUGCAUUCCCGGUCACCUCCAACCCACAAGCACUUUCCAUUUUGGACAGAGGUAGGCAAAUUUGUCAGAAAAAAAAAUUCAGAAAGAUGCUGAGCAUCUGAAUGGAUAGUUUUUUGGUUAACUAUCUGGUUCCUUCUAGACUCAAGACCUUAAAUGUAACCAGCUCCAGAAGUUUAGUGCUCUAUGAUAUGGUAUUUGUAAGUAUUCCAUUUUCACUUUUCCAAGAAUAUGUUCAGCCUUUUAACUUGGAAGCAUAAUAUUUGACUUUUUGCUAUGGUUCUGGAGGCUCUAGAAACCGAGAGUUAAGUAGUCCAUGCAAAGGCAUUUGAACUUGAUUUGAUAUUUCUUGGGGAAGAUCCCAGGAUGGAAGAGCAGGAACACUGUGGGUCAGGAGAGACUCUGGUAAAAUGGCAUCUGGUCACAUUUACAACUAGAACAAAGCUUCAGUUUUUGAAAAGACUUGAUGGGAGGGAUGGGCAAAAGGUAAGUAAGAGACUCCUUUUCCCAUUAAUUCAGGGUGGGGUGGUUGAAAGAGCACUUUGUUACUAACCAGCAGCAUGACCUCGAGCACUCUGCUAUGAUAUGACAGGAACAAGAUAUAAUCAUGUUCUUCACCAAUCAAAUAAAGGAACUAGGUAGAACUGGUGAUGGCAAAUAGAUUUUAUCCCUCAUGGCAUCUUGCCAUGGUGGGUACUGCUGAGGCUAGGCUCAGAGGCAGGUGGUGAGAUGAAUUAAUGCUUGCCAUGAAUAUGGGGUCUGAGCAUGUAUGUGCUCCCCACUUAUCCAAUUCAGACAAGAAUGCAUCCAGGGUCCCUUCCAGCAACACUAUUUUUCAAACUAUGAUUCAGUAAGUUCAGCAAUUGACCUUAAGAAGCCUGGGCACUAUUUAAAAACCUCUUAAUGACUGAAGAAGGGCAUUUCAGCUUUCACAUCACUCUAACACUAGAGAGCCUCUAGUAUUAUAUAGGAGUAAAAAAACUCCUAACUCCAUCUGUCCAUUGCUGUGAAGUUUUACUUCCUGGCUAGGAAAGAGUUCUAGUGACAGACCAUUCAAUGUCAUGAAAACACAGAUGCUGCUAAUCUGGAAUUCUGAUUUUAAUGUGGUUGUAAACCAGAGGGCAGUGGCAGAUAAUGGAAUUUAUCUAGUUUCAGAUUGCCAAGAUGUGGCCCACAUUUCUUGCAGUUCUCUUAAGUUUUAAUCAGCUAUAAUCAUGGCUCUUAAGUUACCAAAUAUCUAUUUUCUGGUACCUUAGAGAUUGAGCUCUAAGAAAUAUGACUUCUGAGAUUGUCUGACCUUUCUAAACUGUCACUGUAACAGCAUUUUGAAACGAGACUCUGCUUCUCUUUAGGCAAGAUGACCAAGGCCAAGAUCUAAAUCACUGCAGGCGUGUACCUUCACAUUUCGAAGCUUGCUAAGCAUCUAUGCAGGACCUGCAAAGGGGAUGACCUAAAACCAGUGCCCUGACCCUUAGGCUGUCACCCAUCUUGGUGUAAAACCAUCGAAAUUGGUGACUGGAAAGAGAGGAUAUUGGGGGAGAGAGUUGCUAGUAUGUGAUAUGAUCUGCUACUAAAACAUAGCCCUAAUCCAUGCACUGCAGGGGAGGGGAAGCAAAAGAAGUGAGAGAAGCCAUUGCAAGGGUGACCUGGAAAGCUGGAGAGGCAUCCUUGGAAUUGAGGGCACAGCAGCCUGGGAUCUGACACAUCUCAGAUCUACAGACAGUUUUUCAGGCUGAGACACCAGGGCUGGGAGAACCAGGGCUGCUGGGAGGCAAUGUUGUGAAUUUCCUCUGAGUCAAAUGGCUGUGAGGAGGAGACUUGGCCUGGAGGUGCCUCGAAAGGGACUUUGCCCAAGAAGUGCAAAUAGAAAGAUAAUGAGACCCUAACAGAGAACAUCUCUGAAGGGUCACUUCUGAGUUCCCAGAAGCCAGCAGCUAGAAUUGUUAAGUGGCCAGUUAGAGGUGACAUCUACCAUGGCUAGAGGGAUAAGAGGAGAAAAUGGAGCUAGGAGAGAGAAAAACGGAGUCUUCCUUUCCUUUUCUACUCUCUCACACUCAGUUUUGAAGGCAGCAAAGAUCUGGAGGGUGGAAGAAAAUCUAAAUUCAUUUGCCUAUGAAUAGUUUGUUCCUUUUCAUUGCUGAGUAAUAUUGUAUUACUGUUUCACAAUUUAAUUAUUCAUCCUCCUGUUGAUAAUGAUGUGGAUCGUUUCCAGUUUGGGGUUAUUAGGAGUAACGCUGCUAUGAAUGUUCAUGUACAAGUUGUUGUGAGAACAUAUGUUUUCAUUACUCUUGAUUAAAUACCUUGGAGGAGAACUGAUGGCUGACAGAGUAACUGUUUGUUUAACAUAUUAGUACAAGGAACAUGCUGUUUUUUUCUGUAUUGUUUCAUUUUGGUGCAUAUGCUGACAAGGUGAGCACUGCUCGGUUAUUUUUGACAUUGUGCUGCUCAUUUUCUGGAAAACUUAUUUGUGAGAAAUCUUUUAUGGACUAGUAUGAAAGUGUCUUCCUCUGGAGAAUGCUUGCUCUGGCUUUUGUGGGGGGCCUGACCAGCCCAGGAUCACUUUCAGCUACAUUUAUAGCUUCAAGUUUAUUUUGGACCCUGUGGGUGAUGCACAUCUGGGUUGAAAAUUUACAUAAAUGCCAGCUUUUGGUCAUGACUGCUCCAAGAGGACUUCUAGAUUUUUAUCCCCUGCUUUGUUGAAUGCCAGAGCACCUGUCCUUGCAGACCCUUGGGUAUAAAUGCAAACUUUAUGGAAUGGGUUUCUUUGUAGACCUCUCUUAUCCUGGUGACAUAAUGUUAUCUCACAAAAGGAAAACUUAAUUUCACUCAGUUUGGCAAUGCCUUUGGUCAAAACUGAUGUCGGUGCUCAAUUCACCUCCCUAGAUUUCUGCUUUCAUUUACAUUUUGGAAGGGACAUUCAUUUACACUCCCAUUAGUAUUUUUAAGAUGUUUUAAAUAUUUUAUCUAGCAUUUUUAGUCGUCUUCAGAAAAAUUCUCCUGCCAUAUUCCCAGAUACAAGGUAUAUUGGUCUAUUUUUAUCCAUUUUGCUAGACACUUGGUGAGAUAUUUUUUAAAAAUUAAAAUCUAAUUUAUUUGUGUUCUGGAUAAUUUUUUUCAGUUAUUUGAUAACUAUUUUUCCCCUUUAGUUUUUUCCACCUUCUUUUGAAACUACAAUUAUUUGGAUGACAGACCUCCUAUAUUGUUCUUGGUCUUUUUGCCCUAUUUUCUGGGAGAAUCCCUCAAUUUUUUCAAGUGUUUCUAUGGAAUUUUAUUUUUUUCUAUUAUGUUUUUAAUUCCAAGAGCUCUGUUUUGUUCUGUGAAUGCAGUUUUCUUCUUUCAAGCAUUUUUGGUCAUGUCUCUUGAGUGAAAUCCUUCUUUUACUUCACUGAGAUGUUUAAUCUCAAUGUGUAAUCUUCUCUUGAUUAAUCUUUGUUCUUCCAAGCUUCCAUCUUUGAUUUGUUCUAGCCUCUAUUUUUUAUAUUAGAGGCUUUUUUUUUUAAGAACUCUGGUGAUCCUUGAGUACUUAUUUAACACUAUACACCAAAAUGGUGAUUAAAAAUUCUGUGUGUUUGUGGUUUUGUAUUAGCUAGGAGAGACUAGACUUAUGUUUUGAAAAACAACAACCACAACAACCAGUUCUCAGUGGUUUAACAAAAUGAAGGUUAGUUUCUCACGCAGCCUACCCUAUGAUGUUUUCUGUAGAACUCUCCUUCACACUCAGGGGCCCAGGUUCAUGGAGAUUCUGUCAUUAUGUAGCUGCUUCAUCUGGACCAUGCAGUCUCUUUGGGUACCUCGGCAGGGGAAUGGACGGCCAGACAACUGUAUGCUGGUUCGUACGUGUUUCAGUACAUGCCACUUCUGCCUACUGUCAGUUGGUCAUAUCAAGUUACAGGUAGGCUCCACCUAACUGAAAGUGGGUUGGGAAAUGGGGGAUUGCAAAUGGAAUGCUUAUUAACCACUGUUGCCUUUACCACAAGCUUUAUUUUUAAUUUAAUUUUAAUUUUUUUACUAUGAGCUUCAGUAGACAGUGAUCUGGCUGGCUCCUGGUGUCAGUAUCUUAAUGAUUUUUCCUCUGGAGCUGCUCAGAAGCCUUUUAAAAAAAGUCUCUUCUAAUUCCUUACCAAGAGGAUGAGUCCUGGAAACCAAUGUUCUGGAAGCUGAGAUGAGGAAGAAGGAUAGAGUCGGGAUGGCAGUGGGGGCUCUAUCAGCUGAGAUGAGGAAGAAGGAUAGAGUCGGGAUGGCAGUGGGGGCUCUAUCAGCUGAGAUGAGGAAGAAGGAUAGAGUCGGGAUGGCAGUGGGGGCUCUAUCAGCUGAGAUGAGGAAGAAGGAUAGAGUCGGGAUGGCAGUGGGGGCUCUAUCAGCUGAGAUGAGGAAGAAGGAUAGAGUCGGGAUGGCAGUGGGGGCUCUAUCAGCGUUCAGUAUGCACAUAGUCAUUCAGCCCCUGUUUUAGUUGGUGCUCUUGUUCUGUAAGUUUCCCUGGUGUCCACAGUUUUUUGGCUUUAGACUUUCCAAGGUUGGGUGUAUGAGAAGCCAUCUUCCAGUUGAGGGGAGAGGCAACCUGAGGAUCUAAUUGCUCCUUUAAAGUCUUUUAAUCAGUUUUUCUGUAUCCUCAUCUUGAUCCUCACAUUCAUGGACACCUGGUGCCACCUUUCCCUGAAGCCAGCUUACCAAUGGAGCCAAAUCAGUUCCCACUCAUCCAUCUGCUUUUUAUCUUCCAAAUGUCUCUUCUUGUUUUCUCUCCAAUUCUUUAUGUGCCAGUGGAUUUGUAUUCCUCUUCAUCAUUUUAAUGGGGGUUCUGGAGGAAGUAGAGUAAGUGGAUGCUUUCCAUCCCCAUCUUUAUACAGUCCUGUUCUUACAAUUCUUAGGAAACUUGCUUUUUUGUUG